GACGAACGCUGGCGGCGCGCUUAACACAUGCAAGUCGACCGGAAAGGCCUGCUUUCCCUUGUGGUUUGCGGGUACUCGAGUGGCGAACGGGUGAGUAACACGUGAGUGAUCUGCCCCCAACUUGGGUAUAAGCCUGGGAAACUUGGUCUAAUUUCCGAUAGGACUUCAGUGUUGUGCCUGUUGUGGACAACGAUUUUCUAGUGGUUUGAGCUCAGCUCGCGGGCUAUCAGCUUGGUGGUGGGGUAAUGGCCUACCAAGGCGGCGACGGGUAGCCGGCGGGGGAGGGUGGACGGCCACAUUGGGACUGGGCAAAGGCCCAGACGGAGACGGGAGGAAGGAGUGGGGAAGAAUGGACGAGGGGCGGAAGCCGGAUGCAGCGAGGAGGGGUGGGGGAUGACGGACUUCGGGUUGUAAACUCCUGUCGAGAGCGAGGAAGCCACCUGGAUGGAAGGGUGGUGACGGUAGUGGUAGAAGAAGCAACGGCUAACUACGUG
rnacentral:rRNA from 1 species